AUUGAACGCUGGCGGCAGGCCUAACACAUGCAAGUCGAACGGUAACAGGAAGCAGCUUGCUGCUUCGCUGACGAGUGGCGGACGGGUGAGUAAUGUCUGGGAAGCUGCCUGAUGGAGGGGGAUAACUACUGGAAACGGUAGCUAAUACCGCAUAAUGUCGCAAGACCAAAGAGGGGGACCUUCGGGCCUCUUGCCAUCGGAUGUGCCCAGAUGGGAUUAGCUUGCUGGUGGGGUAACGGCUCACCAAGGCGACGAACCCUAGCUGGUCUGAGAGGAUGACCAGCCACACUGGGACUGAGACACGGUCCAGACUCCUACGGGAGGCAGCAGUGGGGAAUAUUGCACAAUGGGCGCAAGCCUGAUGCAGCCAUGCCGCGUGUAUGAAGAAGGCCUUCGGGUUGUAAAGUACUUUCAGCGGGGAGGAAGGAGUAAAGUUAAUACCUUUGCUCAUUGACGUUACCCGCAGAAGAAGCACCGGCUAACUCCGUG
rnacentral:rRNA from 1 species